rnacentral:misc_RNA from 1 species
GUUGCGGGUGGUUCGGUUUGACUGCGCGCUACGCGAAGUGAGCUAACAAUAUCUACUACUUAUUUACAAAUAGUAGUAGAUAAGUAAAUGAAAAAUCUUCAGUGAAUGAGUUUGGAGCGCUUGAAUUGCUCUACUGACGUGUUUCGUCUUUUUGGCCGUGUCUUGUGGCGCGCAAUUGCAUAAUACAUACUCGUACAUACAUACAUACAUACAUAAAUAGAGGUGUUUGGGUGGGUGUAUGCCUGCAAAGCGCCACUGUACGUUCAAGUGUUUGUCUCGCAGCAAGUGCUAGUGGUGUUAGUGAACCAACCGAACCGUUAGAGUAGCGGAAGUGAAAAUUAUUACAAUUUCUUCCCCAAAAUUUAAUUGUGUAUGCGCCACAUGUCUCUGUCUCUGUCUCUGUGUGGGUGUUCGUGUUAAUGAGUGGUUGCUGCUUUUCGUGCACGGAAAUACAAUUGAUUAUUAUAAUUAGUGCGAAACACGGUAGAGUGUCAUAUUUCGAACAAAUCAAACUGAAAUUGUUAUCGUUAAUGGAGUAUAUAGCAAUUAAAAUAAAAUUAAUGUUUGUUAAGUUGUAAUUUAAUGCAUAUAAAAUUUAAAUGCAGAAUAAUUGACAUCAGUGGAGAUAUUGUGGAAGUUGUGGGAAAAUAUUCAAGUGAGCCGCUUCGAGGGAUACUGAGAACGCCAAGGGCAACACACUCGUCAGCACAGACACAGACAAGAACAAGGGCAAGAACAUCAGCAACAACAUCAGCAA